CAACCUGCCGUCUACUCUUGGACAGCCUUCUGAAAGGAAGAUUAAUACAAGAUGGCAUCAUGAGUCCGCAUGUUCACAUGAUUAAAGGUAUUCCGGUAGACGAUGGGGAUGCGUUCCAUUAGAUAGUAGGCGGGGUAACGGCCCACCUAGUCUUCGAUGGAUAGGGGUUCUGAGAGGAAGGUCCCCCACAUUGGAACUGAGACACGGUCCAAACUCCUACGGGAGGCAGCAGUGAGGAAUAUUGGUCAAUGGGCGAGAGCCUGAACCAGCCAAGUAGCGUGAAGGAUGACUGCCCUAUGGGUUGUAAACUUCUUUUAUAAAGGAAUAAAGUCGGGUAUGGAUACCCGUUUGCAUGUACUUUAUGAAUAAGGAUCGGCUAACUCCGUGCCAGCAGCCGCGGUAAUACGGAGGAUCCGAGCGUUAUCCGGAUUUAUUGGGUUUAAAGGGAGCGUAGAUGGAUGUUUAAGUCAGUUGUGAAAGUUUGCGGCUCAACCGUAAAAUUGCAGUUGAUACUGGAUAUCUUGAGUGCAGUUGAGGCAUGCGGAAUUCGUGGUGUAGCGGUGAAAUGCUUAGAUAUCACGAAGAACUCCGAUUG
rnacentral:rRNA from 1 species